rnacentral:piRNA from 1 species
UACUUAAGUGCUGUGGGUGAGCAAGAGC